rnacentral:rRNA from 1 species
CGGCAGGAUAUCGAUUAAUUCGAGUGGCGGACGGGUGAGUAACGCGUGAGCAACCUGUCCCAGACAGGGGGAUAACACUUGGAAACAGGUGCUAAUACCGCAUAAGACCACGGGAUCACAUGGUUCUGGGGGUAAAAAGGAGCAAUCCGGUUUGGGGUGGGCUCGCGUCCGAUUAGCCAGUUGGCGGGGUAACGGCCCACCAAAGCGACGAUCGGUAGCCGACCUGAGAGGGUGAACGGCCACAUUGGAACUGAGAGACGGUCCAAACUCCUACGGGAGGCAGCAGUGGGGAAUAUUGGGCAAUGGGCGAAAGCCUGAACCCCCAGCAACGCCGCGUGAGUGAAGAAGGCCUUCGGGUUGUAAAGCUCUGUUAUAGUUGACGAAGGAAGUGACGGUAGGCUAUAAGGAAGCCCCGGCUAACUACGUGCCAGCAGCCGC